UACAGAGGUGGCAAGCGUUGUUCGGAUUUAUUGGGCGUAAAGGGUUCGUAGGCGGCUCGGAAAGUCAUAUGUGAAAUCCCACAGCUCAACUGUGGAACUGCAUUUGAAACUUCCGAGCUAGAGUAUGAGAGGGGUUAAGGGAAUUCCCGGUGUAAGGGUGAAAUCUGCAGAGAUCGGGAGGAACACCAGUCGCGAAGGCGCUUAACUGGCUCAUUACUGACGCUCAGGAACGAAAGCUAGGGGAGCAAACGGG
rnacentral:rRNA from 1 species